rnacentral:lncRNA from 1 species
CUUGGAGGAGGUCCUUAGCUUGACGCCUUACCAUUGGCGGUCGGCAACCUCUCUAUCAGUUGAUUGGAGAGAGUGCAUGUCCAUCAAGGUCACGCUUGAGACUAGCAGAGGCGAAACCAGCGGGAAGACGACUUCGCCACCAAGGGCCGGCGGGCCUGCUGGGAUACUCCGGGUGAGUGGGACGCACUGGGCGGGGUUUCGCCGUUCCGAGGAUGUCGGGGAAGGGGGGGUCACUGCCAGAUGGAGGUUCCGGUUCCGGUGCAGUGUCUGGCUGGUUGCGUUGCUACGGCAGCGCGGUUGAGCGCUCUCGUCUGUGUGAUCGGGGCUUCGCUGACUUUCCGGCCUACUUAAGCCCCUGGGCCUGGGCCCAGGAAGGGUUUGUUGAACCGGGAGCUAAGAAGGGAAUUGGCUCGUUCGACAGACGUUUUCUGCGCAGCUGUGGCGUGCAAGGCACGGGGCCGGUGCGGGACCUCCAGAGAGACCUGUGCCCAAAGCUUGAGAAAUGAGAAGCAGUACGUAGAACAGUGCUUGGAACGUGGCGGGUGCACAUAUUGGUGGAAAGAACGAUUCCCGGGAGAGCGGGGCUCAGCGACAUCGCCAAGUGAUCUGUAGUCUUGGAGCCGCCCAGGGUUGGUGGUACCCUAGAGCACACCAGACUUGCAGAGAAAGCAGACUCAGAGGAAGCUGAGGCAUAACUGCUCAAGAGCCAGCAGUACGAUGUGCAAUUUUCCUCUGAUAGUUCCUGGGUACUGUUGCCACGGUGAUAAUGGCUGUGCCAGUGCCGUUAUCUAUCAACCGACAGUAAGAGCAGCUUUUUGCAGUCAGAUAUUGUUUAACAGAUGGAGUGGUUUCUGUUGGACACUAAGUACUGCUACAAGUUACUUUUUUUAAAAAUUAUUUUAGGAGUUUCUGUUGUGACUAAGCGGAAACGAAUCGCCCUAGCAUCCAUGACGACGCAGGUUUGAUCCCUGGCCUUGCUCAGUGGGCUAAGGAAUCCCGGUUGCCAUGAGAGCUGUGGUGUAGGUCGCAGACCAGCUCGGAUCUGGUGUUGCUGUGGCUGUGGU